rnacentral:lncRNA from 1 species
GUUCUGUGAAGACGCUAGAAGGGAGAAACCGAGCACGCCCUGUGUAUUGGCUGUGUCUGAGAGCUUUCACGGGGAGGUGCACAGAGCGCUCCCCGUCUUAUCAAUUCCAUUCUCCCAGGGCCCUGAGGAGACGUGAUCAAAUGAGGGCUUUGCCUUGGUGAAUCCAAAGAACAGCGGAAGCACGUUGGUCCACAGUGGGGAGUAACGGGAAGAAAGCGACUGUUGCCUUGGCUUGGUUUCUCAAGUGUCUCAACAUCCAAAUUUCAAGGGUAGGCCAUGAGAAGGUAUAGGAAGCAAUUUGAACUGAAGAAAUGAAGAAUCAGCAAAAUUAAGAACAAAAUUCAAGUCCAGUGUAUAAACAGUAGCCUAACAAAAGUCAGAGUAUGAAAUCGCAAAUCUGUGUAAGUGCAAAAUGCAGUGGAGAAAAAGAGCAGAUGUGUAACAAAGACAUCUUCUGUGGAUGGGAUUCUCUUUUAUUGCUGCCCUGUGCAGGUCUCUGCCAUCUCCCUCACUGCACAGCUGCAAAAUGGAUGCUCUGGACACACACCUCCACCGGGAAGCACACGCGCAGGGAAACCCUUGAUGGGGUGGGGACUGGAGAGGAGAGCGCACCAAAGCUGUUGAACUGUCACUCAUGGAGGCGGCUUCAGCUGACAUCAGUGUUCCACGUGCAGGACCAGAGAAGGUGGUGACUGGAAGCCUGCAGGGGUGCUCCCGCCACUCGUGGCAGGGCGGGAUUCCUUUCCUGGUUUAGGUGACCCGGCCAUGAACUCAUCUGAAGAACCUGCUGAAAAUAUUUUGAACAUUAUGAAGAGACAGUUUUGAAAGACUUGAUAGAGGUACUCAUGAGUUUUUCCCCACCACAAUGGGAGUGGUGAGUGGACAGAGAACAGACUUCCAUCACCUCCAGGACUUGGCCGAAUCAUUCAUUCAGGAGGACAGAGUCUGGAGGUUGUGCCUUAAACCCAAAGUUACUUACCUUAUGUUGGCUAAGAAUUAAUUCUGUGUGUCCACCAUUACUAAGGUGAGAUGGUGAAAUACUCCUGAGAAUGCAACAAUGUGAAUUGGCUUCCUUGGAACUUACCUAUGUUCAGACCGAGAACUGGAAUCACCUAGAAGAUGGAAAGACGUCUUAAAGCAGAGGUUCUCAAAGUGGGGUCCCCAGAUCCGCAGCAGAGCCACACCUGAGAACUUAUUAGAAGUGCAGAUUCUCCAGCCUUUCCCCAGGCCUACUGAAUCUGGAACUCUGGUGGGGUGGGGGGUGACGGUGGGAAUGGGAGUGGGAGGGGAAUGGGGUGGUGCCAGCCUUGCAUCUGUUUUCACAAGCCCUCUCAGGGGUGCAGCUGCAGCCUUCACUUUGAGAACCCACGAGAGGUAGAAUAACCCUCGUUCAUGACUGAUCGUAAAGAGGUCCAUUCUUUUUGUUGAGGAGCUUAUAUUCAAGUAUGUAUUUUAGGGAAACUAGUUAGAUUUAUCAUUACCUGUAUUUCAUUUUUUAAAUUUAAUCUUUUAAAAUAUAGUUACGCUGUUUUAUUUUAAUUAUGCUUAUUUUACAGAUAUCUUCUAUUUGUGAUAAGUGAUCUUUAGUGUUUCCUUAAUGGUAGUAAUAAUAACUUCAUUCAAUAAAAAAGUGAAUAUUUUAAAAAAGAAAAUUGUA